GGGAUGCAGAGAACAGACAGACAGACCAUGCUUAGUGAGGUGACGUUUUUAAUUGAGCAGUGAUGACCGGUAGAACCACGACCGUGUGUCAUCACUAGAUUCUAGAGCAGUGAUGACCGGUAGAACCACGACCAUGUGUCAUCACUACAUUCUAGAGCAGUGAUGACCGGUAGAACCACGACCAUGUCUCAUCACUAGAUUCUAGAGCAGCAGACAGUGACGACCGGUAGAACCACGACCAUGUGUCAUCACUAGAUUCUAGAGCAGCAGACAGUGACGACCGGUAGAACCACGAACAUGUCUCAUCACUAGAUUCUAGAGCAGUGAUGACCGGUAGAACCACGACCAUGUGUCAUCACUACAUUCUAGAGCAGUGAUGACCGGUAGAACCACGAACGUGUAUCAUCACUACAUUCUAGAGCAGUGAUGACCGGUAGAACCACGACCAUGUCUCAUCACUACAUUCUAGAGCAGUGAUGACCGGUAGAACCACGACCAUGUGUCAUCACUACAUUCUAGAGCAGUGAUGACCGGUAGAACCACGACCAUGUGUCAUCACUACAUUCUAGAGCAGUGAUGACCGGUAGAACCACGAACGUGUAUCAUCACUACAUUCUAGAGCAGUGAUGACCGGUAGAACCACGACCAUGUGUCAUCACUACAUUCUAGAGCAGUGAUGACCGGUAGAACCACGAACAUGUGUCAUCACUAGAUUCUAGAGCAGUGAUGACCGGUAGAACCACGACCAUGUGUCAUCACUACAUUCUAGAGCAGUGAUGACCGGUAGAACCACGACCAUGUCUCAUCACUAGAUUCUAGAGCAGCAGACAGUGACGACCGGUAGAACCACGACCAUGUGUCAUCACUAGAUUCUAGAGCAGCAGACAGUGACGACCGGUAGAACCACGAACAUGUCUCAUCACUAGAUUCUAGAGCAGUGAUGACCGGUAGAACCACGACCAUGUGUCAUCACUACAUUCUAGAGCAGUGAUGACCGGUAGAACCACGAACGUGUAUCAUCACUACAUUCUAGAGCAGUGAUGACCGGUAGAACCACGACCAUGUGUCAUCACUACAUUCUAGAGCAGUGAUGACCGGUAGAACCACGAACAUGUGUCAUCACUAGAUUCUAGAGCAGUGAUGACCGGUAGAACCACGACCAUGUGUCAUCACUACAUUCUAGAGCAGUGAUGACCGGUAGAACCACGACCAUGUCUCAUCACUAGAUUCUAGAGCAGCAGACAGUGACGACCGGUAGAACCACGACCAUGUGUCAUCACUAGAUUCUAGAGCAGCAGACAGUGACGACCGGUAGAACCACGAACAUGUGUCAUCACUAGAUUCUAGAGCAGCAGACAGUGACGACCGGUAGAACCACGAACAUGUGUCAUCACUACAUUCUAGAGCAGUGAUGACCGGUAGAACCACGACCAUGUCUCAUCACUAGAUUCUAGAGCAGUGAUGACCGGCUGCAGCGAUAUUUCACUCUUUAUUUGUCAUUAAAACAGUCUCCAUAUACAGUAUACUUCCCAUUCAUUUCAUUCCCAAAUGGUACCGGGGGACAAUCAGGGGCACAGAAAUCGACUCUAGGGUGUUAAACAGCAUGGUCCUUCUGUGGCUCAGUGGGUAGAGCAUGGCGCUUGUAACGCCAGGGUAGUGGGUUCGAUCCCCGGGACCACCCAUACGUAGAAUGUAUGCACACAUGACUGUAAGUCGCUUUGGAUAAAAGCGUCUGCUAAAUGGCAUAUAUUAUUUAUUAUUAUUAUUAUUACACAGGUGCACCUUGUGCUGGGGAUAAUAAAAGGCCCCACUGAAAUGUCCAGUUUGUCCUCACAACACCACAGAUGUUUUGAGGGAGCGUGCAAUUGGCAUGCUGAC